CUUGUUGUUAAAAUGAAGUUAAUGUAAUUUCACAAACAGUAGAGUUUAACUUAAUGAGUUUUUCCAUUAACAAGAAUUUCUUAAAAUAAUAAUGUAUGGAUAUCAUUUGGAAAGUGACAUGAAAUGUUGUUAAAAAGUGAUGCAUACAAGUGUUUCAGAAGUCUGUCUAGGAAUAGAACAACAACUGAAGCUGACCAGUUGAUGGAAGAUACUGCAGAGUUUGGCAGGGAAAUAACCCAAGACAGCAAAGCGGCUCUUUUGGCGCAUUUACCAAGAGGACUAACAUGGCCACAAAUUCAUGAGAUCAUGCAGGAGCCGUACAGUAUAACAGCAGUACAAGUUCUAUAAAAGAUCCACGACCUACUGAAGCCCAGCUAAUUAACAAAAAAGUUUUUAAAAACUGUAAUUUUAUCCCACCUGGGUACUUAUAAUUUACUAAGCUGCCUUCACAAGUUUUAGACUUGCAAUUAUAUUUUAAACUGUCACUUGGAAAGUAAUACAUGUACAUGCAUUCAUGUUCUGAAUUUCUUUGAACAAUAAAAUUAUAUAAAAGUAUUUUAAUGAAAUUGAGCACCUAAAUUGCAUUAAAGUGAAAGUAGCUGAGAAAAAUAGUAUCCUUAAUUGUUCUCAUGGGCAGCUACAUAUAUUGUGACAAACAUGAAGUAGCUAAAAUAACUUAAAUUUUUCAUUUUGUUUCUUGUAUAUCGUUUGUACAGGGUUCGUGAAUUGUUACUGUAUAUUACUUGACUUGCUUGUAUUUUGUUACUUUGAAUACAUGUUGUUAAGGUUGCAUUAUACUUUUUAACUUUUAAAGUAGCGCCUGUUCUGUUAUGUAAGGGCCUGAUUUAUGAUAAUGGACCUAGAGGCUUUGUAAGCAUGUAUUAAACAACACUUGUUUGAUCUGAAUAAUUUGUUAAAUAAAUGUAACACAAUUUGUAAUCUGAUGUUAUAUUUUGAUGAAUUGUGAACAAAAUAAUACAUCGAAGAAACUAA